UUAUCAAGGCAAGACCAAAUGCCAAAGUAUCCCAGCAGCUCCCUCCAUUUCUACCGGCUUUGGUCUGGGAGAGAGGUAACACAGCUGGUUAACCCACCUGGAACAAACAUGGUUUCAGAUAGAAACUUUUCCUGCUCUGGUGUCUGCCUCUGGGUCAUCCCAUUGUCGUUCAGGUGGCCUCCUUCCCUCAGGCCAGAUUUUUCCUAGGAGAGAAGCAGCCUGUGAUGUGGUUUUUGGAAUGUCGGUGAGGCCGGGAGCUGACAGCCAAGAAAGAAUUCUUGAGACGUCUUUGGUGCAAAAAAGCUCUGGUACAAUGGCAGGAAUGGGGAAGGGCAUGGACUUCAUAGUGAAGUUUUGAAUCCUGGCUUACACCUCAUCAAAUGUCUGAGACUCCUCCUUUGUCUGCAGAAUGGGGGCAAUUGUGGUAUCUGUGGCGCCAGAUUGUGAUAGCUGCAAAUUUGCCAAGUAUUCCCCAAAGCUAUCAAGCUGUUACCAUUUAAUGGGGAGCCAGGGAACAUCAUGGCCGGUCUCUACUCUGCAUUACCCAGAUCAAGAGCUCCGAAGAUGGAAGUAGCUGCAGCCAAGUCAGAAGCUGUUUUGCAGGUCAAGGAUGCACUCAUGGCCUGGGGAAUUUAAAUAGCCCCUUUAAAGGGAAAUGUUAUGGAAGCUCUGUAUCCAAAGGAAAAAAAUAAAAUAAAUUGAG